GAAAUUUGGUCGUGGAGUGGUACUUCUUCUAGAGAAGCGACGACCGAGCCGCCUCCCGAACCUCCCUCAACCAUGCCCAUCCACUCUCGUCGCCCUCCUCCUUCAACGCCGAGUCGCGCCGCCGCAGCCUCCGAGUGGCGCCGUGGCCGCCCACCUUCCCGCGCCGUCGCAUCGUUGACAUAUAUAUCCGCGCACCGCGCCUCCAUCCGUCCCCUCCCCCGACGCCCUGAAGACUAGCUCGUGGCGCAGACCACCCCGACGCCGCCUACCUCCGCCGUCCCAGUAGCCUCACGCGGGCGGCAAUAUGGAUCUGGACGCCCCAAAUCUCUCCCUGGACGAACUGCCCUCCACCGUGCUCCCUGCCGCUCGAGUGCAUCGUCACCGCCGAUGAGGUGCUCGUCCUGGGCGGCUCCUGAAGCCCUUGACGCUGUCGGAGGCGGAGGCGACCACCAUGCUAUCUCGUCCUGAGCUACACACGUAGUUCGCCGCUGCAAAUUUUCUAUGCAUUCUUUGUGUAUUGUUCUGAGGGAUAACAACUGACAUCAUGGAGCAGCCUUCGUGGAAGGUUAAGGGGAGGUCGUCCAAUUUGUUUGCACGAACAUGGCGGAGUUGACACUCUGGAAUAGUCUGGGAUCAACGUUCCUCUUGUCCUGCUCCUUUACAUAACCCAGGUAGGCGCAAUCUGAAACCUCAUACUGUUUUUAGCGCCACAAAUGUAUGUGAUACUGCAUUUUUAGCGUCACUGGCGGGUUGGUUGGUUGGUCUCAACAUCAACCUGCCAAAGGAAAUCAUGAUAUUGUUGAGGUAUUGGUCAUUCCUUCCCUAGAUAUAUUAUUAUAGUUAUGUUUUUCUUCCUGUGAGAUGAUUAACACGAGGUUAACGCUGUCUUUAUAACUGUUAUGCCCAGACAUGUUAAAAAUAUAUGGGUGCGGAAGAUUUUUCUGUUUUCUGAGCACACAUGGUAUGUUUGAUGAAUUGCACAUAGGGAAUUCCAGUAGUCCAGACGUCCAGUUAUCUAAAAUCUGGUUUGGCAUUUUGUUUGCUCAUGGGAAUAACCACAUUUUCUAAUAACCGAUUCAAUGAUAUAUAGCUGUGCACGUCUAGUGCCCAAUGUAAAGUCUAACACAGUGGUCACGAAUGAAGCAUGAUGAACUUCCAUGUGCUACUUUUUUCUCCCUCUAUGAUCCUGUUCUAAAGAUGACGACACUUAUGAUUAUGAGCAGGCAACAACAAGUGGGCAAUUGCAUUCUGCUUGUUUUCUUUUUUUUUGACGAAACAGCCACAAUGAGCUAUUUAUUGCCAAAGAAGGUCGGAGGGAAUCCAACCAGAAGGUUACAUAGAGAAAACACAGAAAAAAACACUAGAGCUUGGAGGCAGGGAACAGAGGAAAUAAAGGAAAAAGAUUAAGGCACAUCAUCGGGUCCUGAAACAAGAGCACCUAGACCUAUUACCACUAGAUGCGCCUCAACAUCUUCAAAAAAGACAAGCUUCCGGGCAGCAGUAGAACCCUUGCAAUUGGAACAGCGAUUCCCAUUCAGCGGAGACUUAUAACGAUCAUUUGCUGGCCCCUUUCCAUUAGCGCCUCUUUUAAGCAUUUCAACAAAAUAAUGCUGACCACCUGCAGCUGCAUGAAGCAUCCGCUCAAAAAAGGAGCAUUUCAUACUAAAGAUCAAAGUGUAACCAGGAACAACCGGGCAGAGAACGCCGGACUUCAAGAUCCUAACACGCAAAGUGUAACCAUUCUGCUUGUUUUCGUGGUUUAAUUUUGGAACCAUUUUUCCACCUUAUUUCUACAUCUUGCUUGCUAAGUAGUUACUUUGUGUUAGUUACCCAGUUCUUGCAAUGAAGCGAAUGCGUGAGUACCCAUCAAGGCAAGUCUUUAGCUCCUAAAAAAUAGUUUAUUAUGGAUGUGCUACUUAUCACUCCAUCUAUUUUUUUCUCUGGUCCAAACAAGUCAGACACCUAAUAUGGAAACUGUUUAUUUUUUCCUCAGUUUGUUUAGCUGUAUGUAUAUUGUUCAAUAAUCAAGCCUAGGACCAAGCUGUAGAGCAGGCGGUAUGCUCAUGUUCACAAGCUUGCAGUUACCACCACCAGCAUGCCCUGGCGCUGAUCCUACAGCAUACAUUGGAUGUCCUUUGGAUAUGCGCCAACCAGGCUGACAAGAAUGUGGUCAUCCUCACCAUGCUCCUGUACCAACUUUGUCCACCACCCGACAACUCUGCUCUCAGUCUGGUAAGCUGCUCGGCACACUGACAUUGGAGCCUCGCUUGCAUGUGCCUUCCUGAUGGUGCCAACCGAGCCGGCAGGACACUGGACACCAUGCCAAUCCCACCGCUGAACGACUCCAGACUCGGUGAGCUUCACUCAGUGGUGCUUGUUUUGCAGCUACAUGGAAGGUCGGACGCUCGUCCCUGACCAGGAGGAUGCUCUUCGCUGGAACUGGUCGAGCUCUGGUUCCUACUCUGCGCAAUCCGCUUAUCUCCACUUCUUCGUUGGUCGUCCGACUUCCCCCACUUGGUCCCAGAUUUGGCGGUGUUGGACUCCGCUUAAAUGUCGGAUCUGGGUGUGGCUCGCGGCUGCUAAUCGGUGUUGGACGGCGGAUCGCUUGGAGCGCCGACACCUCCCUUUCAACGCGCUCUGUCCGCUCUGCGAUCAGGACCCGGAGACUCUGCGGCAUCUCCUCCUGGAUUUCCCUUUCUCCAAAUCGGUCCUUCAUGAGGUCUUCUCUAAAGCAGGCGCGCUCCGUUGCUUACCCCGCCCUUCGGAGGACCUCCCGGAGUGGCUUUCCAAGGGCACUCUUAGGCUUCGUGGCAAGGUCAAGGCGGUUCGGUUGCUCAUCAACCUCUCUCUCUGGCGCAUUUGGCAGCUCUGGAACGAUUGUGUCUUUGAAGACGCUCGACCGGUGGCUGCGCGUCUUGCUGAGGAUAUCCUUGGGGAGGCUGACCUUUGGAGGGCCGCGGGCGCUCGAGCUCUAGAGCGUCUCCCCCUCCACUCGCGUCCCCAUGACUAGCUUUGUUCUCUUUGCUUGUUGUACAGUAGCUGUAGGCUUUUUCCUUUGCUUUGAGGCCUGUUAGGUCUCACCUUUGCCUUUUGUAUUUGCGCUUCUUGCGCUUUCUUCUUAAUGGAAAUGACACACCGCUCAAUGUGUUUGAGAAAAAAAAAUGGUAAGGGAUAAUUUUCCGAUCCACUUACCAUCAUAUUGGUUCAA